rnacentral:rRNA from 1 species
ACGGAGGAUCCAAGCGUUAUCCGGAUUUAUUGGGUUUAAAGGGUGCGCAGGCGGAUCAAUAAGUCAGGGGUGAAAAAUUUCAGCUUAACUGGAAUCGUGCCUUUGAUACUGUUGGACUAGAGUAUAAUUGACGUGACUGGAAUGUGAUGUGUAACGGUGAAAUUCUUAGAUAUGUCACAGAACGCCAAUCGUGUAGACAUGUCACGGAAUUAUUUCUGAGGCUCAUGCGCGAAAGCGUGGGGAGCUAACAG